AUCCGGAUGACGAAUCCCAAAUAGGACUAAAUGCGCAUUCCGAAU
rnacentral:hammerhead_ribozyme from 1 species